UUAAGUUUUCUGCUCACCAGGUUAAGCACAGAGAGGGAGUACGCCCCCCUUGUGGUGAAAACCAGCUACUUCUUCUCCCGUGUUUCAUUCCUGUCUUUUGUUAUUUUAAUUUUUAUUAUUUUUCUUCUCUCUUUUGGCUUAGGUUAUUUUGAUAAUUACCAUUAUUAUCAUAAUGUUUUGUUUGUUGUUUUAUCAUUAUUAGAUAAAGCUGUUACCUUUCCUUUCUACAUAUAUAUUUACUCAAUUGAUGUUAAACAAACCAAACCUUAAUUAACUUUAAGUUUCCUUUGUUCAUCCUUUGUGUAUUUGAUUGUAGAACUCCCUUGGUGAUUGGACAGUCAUCUCAGGUUUCCAGUGAGCAAGGGGGCCGACCAGCGUUACCGACACUGGCUGUCAGUGAAACUCGGUUCCUCUUGUCUCUGUCCGUUGCGGCACGCAGUGGAGACAUCAGCAAUUUGGCACUCCAAAGGUUGUUUUAAAGGCACAAGCUGUUUGAGAGGGUGCAACGUCAGAGUAACGGAGGGCCGGGGACACUGCGAUUGAGUGUUUGGGGAGCGCCGGAGAGGUUGACCAAGCCACUGGUUUCCACCUGAAUGACUUCAAUGCACCCAGAGACAGUAACCUGUGAGAGCCACCAAAGAAGCUAAAUAGUAGAGCGACAACCAGCAGCCGGUGUCAUCACGCGACCCGCUAGACUACUGUCUGUCAAAUCUCCAUUUCAGUGAGUCAGGAUGUUCCAGUCAUCCAGUCCAGCAGUCCAUGGGGGCCACCUCUCGACAUGGUUGAAAGCAGUGAUGACCCCCUUCCUGCCCAAGGAUGCCAGUAACCUGCAGCACCCAGAGCAACUAGACACCGAGCUAGAUUAACUGUUGGCACACGAUCCAACCCAAAGCGACUACUACAAAGAACUCGCCAGGAUCCUCUGAAGCCUAGUUCACAUUCUCAUCGCCCAGGCACAGCUCAGUGAACUGAGCAACAUCGACCUUGAACAGCAAGCAGCAACGCUUAAGCUUCAAGCGGAGGAGGCCUGGAAGGACCAGGCCCCAACCCAGAGUCGCCUUGAUCAGCUCCUCCUCGAGACCCAGAACCAGCGCGAGAAAGAGGACAACACAGAUCCAGAGCUACAGAAAGAAGUAGAAAGACUUCACAAUGCCCUGCAAGAUCUUCGCCUCGACACAGAUCAAAAGACAACAGCUGGAGAGAGAAGCCAGAAAAGAACUCAACAAAAAACUCCAGCAAGGUGACGCUCUCCUAAAAAGAGCAGAGACUGAACUGAAA